UGACCCAACACGGGGAAACUCACCAGGUCCAGAUGAAAUAAGGAUUGACAGAUUGAGAGCUCUUUCUUGAUUUUUCAGGUGGUGGUGCAUGGCCGUUCUUAGUUCGUGGGGUGACUUGUCUGCUUAAUUGCGAUAACGAGCGAGACCUUACUCUGCUAAAUAGCCAGGCUAACUUUGGUUGGUCGCCGGCUUCUUAGAGAGACUAUCAACUCAAGUUGAUGGAAGUUUGAGGCAAUAACAGGUCUGUGAUGCCCUUAGAUGUUCUGGGCCGCACGCGCGCUACACUGACAGAGCCAGCGA
rnacentral:rRNA from 1 species